CUUCGUCGGCAGCGUCAGAUGUGUAUAAGAGACAGGUUAAAUUCGCCGCCUGGGGAGUACGGUCGCAAGGCUGAAACUUAAAGGAAUUGGCGGGGGAGCACCACAAGGGGUGCGGCGUGCGGUUUAAUUUAACUCCACACAGAGAAACUCACCAGAGGCGACGGCAGGUUGAAGGUCAGUCUGAAGGGCUUACCUGACGAGCCGAGAGGAGGUGCAUGGCCGCCGUCAGCUCGUGCUGUGAGGCGUCCAGUUAAGUCUGGAAACGAGCGAGACCUGUAUUCAUAAUUGUCAGCGAGUCAUGAGACGUUCGGAAACAUUAUGAAGACUGCCUUGGAAACAAGGAGGAAGGUGCAGGCAACGGUAGGUCUGUAUGCCCCGAAUCCUCUGGGCUACACGCGCGCAACAAUGGCAUGGACAAUGGGCUGCAACUUCGAAAGAAGGAGCUAAUCCUCGAAACCAUGUCUUAGUUCGGAUUGAGGUUUGUAACCCAACCUCAUGACGCCGGAAUCCCUAGUAAUCGAACGUCAACAACGUUCGGUGAAUACGUCCCGGCUCCUUGCACACACCGCCCAUCAUCUCAACCGAGUCGGGUUUGGGUGAGCAUUAGUUUUUUUGAUUGAUGCGAAUCUAAAUUCGGUGAGGCGGGGCAAGUUGUCACAAGGUAGCCGUAGGGGAACCUGCGGCUG
rnacentral:rRNA from 1 species